rnacentral:rRNA from 1 species
GCACAAGCGGUGGAGCAUGUGGUUUAAUUCGACGCAACGCGAAGAACCUUACCUGGGCUAGAAUGCUCCUGACAGCCCCAGAGAUGGGGUCUCCUGGGUAAAACCAGGCAGGAUGCAAGGUGCUGCAUGGCUGUCGUCAGCCCGUGUCGUGAGAUGUUGGGUUAAGUCCCGCAACGAGCGCAACCCUUGUCAGUAGUUACCAGCGGUUCGGCCGGGCACUCUACUGAGACUGCCGUUGAUAAAACGGAGGAAGGUGGGGAUGGCGUCAAGUCCUCAUGGCCUUUAUGUCCAGGGCUACACACGUGCUACAAUGGCAGACACAAAACGCUGCAAACUCGCGAGAGGGAGCCAAUCGUCAAAAGUCUGUCUCAGUUCGGAUUGGAGUCUGCAACUCGACUCCAUGAAGUUGGAAUCGCUAGUAAUCGCAGAUCAGCAUGCUGCGGUGAAUACGUUCCCGGGC